UACGUAGGGCGCAAGCGUUGUCCGGAAUUAUUGGGCGUAAAGGGCUCGUAGGCGGCCAACUAAGUCGGACGUGAAAUCCCUCGGCUUAACUGGGGAACUGCGUCCGAUACUGGAUGGCUUGAGUUCGGGAGAGGGAUGUGGAAUUCCAGGUGUAGCGGUGAAAUGCGUAGAUAUCUGGAGGAACACCGGUGGCGAAGGCGGCAUCCUGGACCAAUAUUGACGCUGAGGAGCGAAAGCCAGGGGAGCAAACGGGG
rnacentral:rRNA from 1 species